rnacentral:rRNA from 1 species
UGAACGCUAGCUACAGGCUAACACAUGCAAGUCGAGGGGCAGCAUGAUCGAAGCUUGCUUGAUGAUGGCGACCGGCGCACGGGUGAGUAACGCGUAUCCAACCUUCCCUAUAGUAGAGAAUAGCCCGGCGAAAGUCGGAUUAAUGCUCUAUGUUGUAUUUAGAGGACAUCUGAAGAAUACCAAAGGUUUACCGCUAUAGGAUGGGGAUGCGUCUGAUUAGGUAGUAGGCGGGGUAACGGCCCACCUAGCCGACGAUCAGUAGGGGUUCUGAGAGGAAGGUCCCCCACAUUGGAACUGAGACACGGUCCAAACUCCUACGGGAGGCAGCAGUGAGGAAUAUUGGUCAAUGGACGGAAGUCUGAACCAGCCAAGUAAGCGUGCAGGAUGACGGCCCUAUGGGUUGUAAACUGCUUUUAUAUAGGGAUAAAGUCGGGGACGUGUCCCCGUUUGUAGGUACUAUAUGAAUAAGGACCGGCUAAUUCCGUGCCAGCAGCGGC